rnacentral:lncRNA from 1 species
UUUUUAAAACAUAAGCACAGUGCAGCCAAGUAUCGAGUUGUCCUCAGCAAACAGCAGUAAGCACACAAUGUUUUUAAAAUCUCAAAAUGAAGAAAAGAAAAUGGAAAUCAGCACGUGCUCUGCUGAAGGCACCCCCUCUCCGGUCAAGAACUAAAAUUAAAUUGAACAUCUUGGCAGAAAAUAAACAUUUGCGUUGGAAAAUGGCUAAUUUAUGUCCUAUUGCCCUGUUACUGCAACCAUAACAAACCUCUCUUUGUGUAACUUCUGCCUCCGACCUAAUAAACCGUUUCUAAAUAGCCUUCAUUCAUCGGGAAGUGCUCCACCUACAUUUGUGCUAAACACUGCUUGGAAAUGCAUAGCGCUCAGAUUUUCCACACUCGGGUACCCCCGGGUGGGAGCUGCCGGGCAACACAGCCUCACACUGUUGACUGUGGUGUCACAGGUGGCCCAAAGCACAGACACAACCUGAAAGCUGCAAGUUUUUAACAUAUGAGCAAAACUCCCCGGCCAGCCUUGUAUACAUAGGAAUGUGCACCCGGGCCCAGCUAUUUAUACAAUCACACCCAGCUAGGAGGCUGGCGAGGGUCAAGAGAAACAUACCUUCCUUUCUCAAAAUCCUGUAGGUAAAGAAACCACUCUUUGUGUUUUCUUUGGUACCUCACCCAAAAAAAUGUCCA